AGAUUGAACGCUGGCGGCAGGCCUAACACAUGCAAGUCGAGCGGUAGAGAGGUGCUUGCACCUCUUGAGAGCGGCGGACGGGUGAGUAAUGCCUAGGAAUCUGCCUAGUGGUGGGGGAUAACGUUCGGAAACGGACGCUAAUACCGCAUACGUCCUACGGGAGAAAGCGGGGGACCUUCGGGCCUCGCGCCAUUAGAUGAGCCUAGGUCGGAUUAGCUAGUUGGUGAGGUAAUGGCUCACCAAGGCGACGAUCCGUAACUGGUCUGAGAGGAUGAUCAGUCACACUGGAACUGAGACACGGUCCAGACUCCUACGGGAGCAGCAGUGGGAAUAUUGGACAAUGGGCGAAAGCCUGAUCCAGCCAUGCCGCGUGUGUGAAGAAGGUCUUCGGAUUGUAAAGCAACUUUAAGUUGGAGAAGGUUGUAACCUAAUACGUUGCAACUUUGACGUUACCGACAGAAUAAGCACGGCUAACUCGUGCCAGCAGCCG
rnacentral:rRNA from 1 species